rnacentral:rRNA from 1 species
UAGGGAAUAUUGGGCAAUGGAGGGAACUCUGACCCAGCCAUGCCGCGUGCAGGAUGAAGGCGUUAUGCGUUGUAAACUGCUUUUAUAUAGGAAGAAAUAGUCCUUGCGAGGAAAGUUGACGGUACUAUAUGAAUAAGCACCGGCUAACUCCGUGCCAGCAGCCGCGGUAAUACGGAGGGUGCAAGCGUUGUCCGGAUUUAUUGGGUUUAAAGGGUGCGUAGGCGGUUUAUUAAGUCAGUGGUGAAAGACGGUCGCUCAACGAUUGCAGUGCCAUUGAUACUGGUAGACUUGAGUAUGAUUGAGGUAGCUGGAAUGGAUAGUGUAGCGGUGAAAUGCAUAGAUAUUAUCCAGAACACCAAUUGCGUAGGCAAGUUACUAAGCCAUAACUGACGCUGAGGCACGAAAGUGUGGGUAUCAAACAGGAUUAGAUACCCCCGUAGUCCCUGAGCGGGCUGGCAAGGCGCAU